CCAGAAGAGUAAGUGGGACAGCUCGCGGUCGCUACGCUACAACCAGGACGCUCAGAGAGAGGAAGGUACGGCACGGUGUAGCACAGGAGCUGGUCCUCAUCCCGAGGGGCACGUCCACCAGUGUGUGUGUGUGUGUGUGUGUGUGUGUACGAGCAGACCAGCGCCGCAUGGUGGAGAUCAUCGGCCACCUGACCAAGAUGAGGUUCGGAGAGCAGGAGCAGAGCCGGUCCAAAGACACCAAGGAGGUAACGAGAGUGAAGAGGUCUCUGUGGUCUCUUAUCACCUGGAGGGUGUUUAUCCACACUGUGUGUGUGUGUGUGUGUGUGUGUGUGUGUGUGUGUGUGUGUGUGUAUCUGCGUCUGCUCUCAGCCUGUAGGUGGAAUCUACUCCAGACUGGAAGCUCAGUUCAAGAGCUCGUCUCAAACCCGACAGACUGCAGAGAAAACACCCAGAUCUAAAGUCCGCUAUGCUCAGAUCAGAACCACGUAGAGCUUGAGAUGUGAAGUGAAGAUCUUCGGUCUGCAGAGAGGAGGAACUCCGUCAGCAGCAUGCCUCCUCCUCCUCCUCCUCCUCCUCCUCCGCUCCACUCAGGUGACCAUGUCCGAUCACCGUCAGCUGCUUCCUCCGUCUCUCAGCCCGCCGUGGAGACUUCUGGGAGUUUCUCCUCAGGACGAUGUGAGAAGUCCAGCUCAUCUCUGCCGGGUGUGAAGAGGGUCGGACGACAGAUGGACAGAAAAACUCCAUGAUUUAUCACUAAAAGAACAAAACAAAAGAAACCAGCUUGAAAUCCAAACAAAUGUGAAGCAAAUUAUUACUGAGAAACACAGAAACAUCCUGGAAACAGAAUAAAACUGAAGUCUGAGAAGAAAGAUUGCAUGAACGAAAGAAAGUGAAUAAAUUUAAGAGUAAAACUAUGAGAAAUUAAAGAAAAAAAAUAACCUUAAAACGUGAUUUUAAAACAUGUACAUGUUUUAAAGUUAUAAUUUUGAGUUGAUUCAGUUGGCUUGAGGCAAAAAUAAGUCUGAGUUACAUUUAAAAUAAUAAUAAGGAUAAAAUACUGAAAUAUUACCUGGAAAUCUGGUUCAGGAGGUUAAUUAGAAAAAAACUGAGUGUGAAAAACUUAAAACUGAUUUUAUGAUUGUAAAAUCAACCUUUUGGAUUAAAGCUAGAAAACAAAAGUCUUUAAGAAGUAUUGUGAUAAAUUUCAACAUUGGAGUUGACAGUUUCAGUAGUAACAAAAGUAGAUUCGAAAAAUGAGUAAUAUUUCAAUGAAAACAUGAAGUCAUGUAUCAAUCAAUAAAUCCAAGCUUUAGACUCAAUUUGAGAUUAAAAAUUAAAUGUGACCUGAACGUAUUUCAUGAGAAACUGGAUCAAUAUGCAGUAUUUUAAAUGAGCAAACAGUAGAAGAUCCAGUGUUUAAAAAGACUGAUGAACCUGAACGAGCUGCGUCACGACACAGAGAAUGAAAAGUCUGGAUUCUGAGGUUGUUGUGUUUUUUUUUUUUUUUUUCCUCCGGAUGCUUCUGUUUGAGCUCCUCCAGUUAACCUGCUGAUACUAACC
rnacentral:lncRNA from 1 species